CCUACGGGAGGCAGCAGUAGGGAAUCUUCCGCAAUGGACGAAAGUCUGACGGAGCAACGCCGCGUGAGUGAUGAAGGCUUUCGGGUCGUAAAACUCUGUUGUUAGGGAAGAACAAGUACAAGAGUAACUGCUUGUACCUUGACGGUACCUAACCAGAAAGCCACGGCUAACUACAUGCCAGCAGCCGCGGUAAU
rnacentral:rRNA from 1 species